UCUCUCUUCCGGGUUGCAGUGAAUCCGGUUCCACGCGCUGCUGCAGAGAGAAAGAAACCAACGGUCCGGAAGCUUCUUUUAACGGAUUUUAAGAGCCUGGACUGGAUUCAUCUUCAUAAGGUCAGCAAACUAUGACUGGGACCGUUGUUUACUCGCGUGCUCAGCUGAUUGCGCUGUGCAAGCCGCAGCUUCUGCCUGGAGACAGACCUGUGAUCCCGGUGGAGCUACGGAGAAGGGCUCGGGGCUGCAGGUCGGGUGCCAAGACGAGGGCUAAAAAGAUGAAAUACAAAACCCUCGAUACCGGCGAUCAUAACAGGGAACGUGAGGUCUUGGCGAAUAAGACGGAUGAGCUCGGCGCGCUGGUAAUGACAGAGGAUCUUCCGUGAGAGCAGCCUCUUGUGUUUUACUGAGACGUGGCUGCACGCGGACUAUCCGCGAUUAACUGGUUUUGGUACGCAUGCAUGAGGCAGAUGUUCCGUAGGAGUGGCCUCGGAGUUGCCUCUCAGGACUCGUCUCGACUAACUAGGAAAUGCACAUUUCCAUCGCUUAGCCUCUGUCGCGUUCUUUUUAUGUAACGCUAAUGUUUUAAAGACUAAACACGGAGGACUUUGCUGUAAAAUGUGAUACCUGUUCUGCAGUUGAGACGCCGAGGACACGGAGCGAGGACAAAGUAGGUGACUCUGCUGAUGCCUGUUCAAUAUACUACUAACUUCAAUAAAUACUUGACAAAAUGC